AAAACCAAAAAAACAAAAACCACAGCUGGUGAGAGAAGGAAGGAUUUUAAUAAUGUGUGUGCGUGAGGUAGGCAAAAAUGGCUACAAAUUAAUACUAUUUAUGUUAUUAAUGUUAUCAUUUGUUCUGGUACUCAGAGAUGUUCAGAAAGUCAAUAGCUGGAGUGAAUGAAGGUUGGAAAGGUCUCUGUGGUUCAUCCAGCCCUGUACUCACUGCUCCGUGGAUCCAACCCUCCUGCUAAGCUAAGCUUUGUGGGAGAAAGGAAGGAGGAAUCUAUCCCCUAAAGAACAGCACAGCAGUUGUCAGGCUGAAGCCUCUAACAUACACAACCUCCUCUGUGCUUCUCCAGACACAGACCCACCAGCCCUGUGAGAAGAUGAGUGUGUUUACCACGUUGAAGAGAUCAGCAGUAGAUUUAUUGGAGAGAGUAAAGCCUUUGGGCAGAUGAGAAAAACUCUAAAAAAUCCAGUUUCCAAGCAGGAAAUUUGAGGAGUGAUGCAGAGAUCGUGACAGAAGCUGAAAACUGCAUGCAGAGACAAUACCUCAGCGUCAAACUUAACACAUGGAAACAGCAACAAUACAUAUUUUUGAGAAAUGUUUUAUAUAUUUGACCUGGUUUUUGUGGGUUUUUUUUUCCCCAUAGAGAAAAAAUAAAUCAAUCUUUUCACCACCCUGA